rnacentral:rRNA from 1 species
UGCAAGUCGAGCGGACAGAAGGGAGCUUGCUCCCGGAUGUUAGCGGCGGACGGGUGAGUAACACGUGGGUAACCUGCCUGUAAGACUGGGAUAACUCCGGGAAACCGGAGCUAAUACCGGAUAGUUCCUUGAACCGCAUGGUUCAAGGAUGAAAGACGGUUUCGGCUGUCACUUACAGAUGGACCCGCGGCGCAUUAGCUAGUUGGUGGGGUAAUGGCUCACCAAGGCGACGAUGCGUAGCCGACCUGAGAGGGUGAUCGGCCACACUGGGACUGAGACACGGCCCAGACUCCUACGGGAGGCAGCAGUAGGGAAUCUUCCGCAAUGGACGAAAGUCUGACGGAGCAACGCCGCGUGAGUGAUGAAGGUUUUCGGAUCGUAAAGCUCUGUUGUUAGGGAAGAACAAGUGCGAGAGUAACUGCUCGCACCUUGACGGUACCUAACCAGAAAGCCACGGCUAACUACGUGCCAGCAGCCGCGGUAAUACGUAGGUGGCAAGCGUUGUCCGGAAUUAUUGGGCGUAAAGGGCUCGCAGGCGGUUUCUUAAGUCUGAUGUGAAAGCCCCCGGCUCAACCGGGGAGGGUCAUUGGAAACUGGGAAACUUGAGUGCAGAAGAGGAGAGUGGAAUUCCACGUGUAGCGGUGAAAUGCGUAGAGAUGUGGAGGAACACCAGUGGCGAAGGCGACUCUCUGGUCUGUAACUGACGCUGAGGAGCGAAAGCGUGGGGAGCGAACAGGAUUAGAUACCCUGGUAGUCCACGCCGUAAACGAUGAGUGCUAAGUGUUAGGGGGUUUCCGCCCCUUAGUGCUGCAGCUAACGCAUUAAGCACUCCGCCUGGGGAGUACGGUCGCAAGACUGAAACUCAAAGGAAUUGACGGGGGCCCGCACAAGCGGUGGAGCAUGUGGUUUAAUUCGAAGCAACGCGAAGAACCUUACCAGGUCUUGACAUCCUCUGACAACCCUAGAGAUAGGGCUUUCCCUUCGGGGACAGAGUGACAGGUGGUGCAUGGUUGUCGUCAGCUCGUGUCGUGAGAUGUUGGGUUAAGUCCCGCAACGAGCGCANCCCUUGAUCUUAGUUGCCAGCAUUCAGUUGGGCCUCUAGGUGACUGCC